rnacentral:ncRNA from 1 species
AGAAUGGUCGAGCAGAUCGGAACGUUCCCGUCGGGGCAAGGGAAGAUGGUGCGAGUCCAUCGCUGCCCCGCAACUGUAACCGGUGACGAAAUCCGCAACGGAGCCACUGCACGGGUGACGAGAACCCGGGCGGGAAGGCGCGGAGAGUAGGAGGGCGGCCCUCGAUGGGCCGCCGGGGAACCGGAAGCCAGGAGACCUUCCCGGCGGGGAGAGAUCCC